GACGAACGCUGGCGGCGUGCUUAACACAUGCAAGUCGAACGCUGAAGCUCAGCUUGCUGGGUGGAUGAGUGGCGAACGGGUGAGUAACACGUGAGUAACCUGCCCUCUUCUUUGGGAUAACGCCCGGAAACGGGUGCUAAUACUGGAUAUUCACUGAUUCUCGCAUGGGGGUUGGUGGAAAGGUUUUUUCUGGUGGGGGAUGGGCUCGCGGCCUAUCAGCUUGUUGGUGGGGUGAUGGCCUACCAAGGCUUUGACGGGUAGCCGGCCUGAGAGGGUGACCGUUCACAUUAGGACUGGGAUACGGUCCAGACUCCGACAGGAGGCAGCAGUGGGGAAUAUUGCACAAUGGGCGAAAGCCUGAUGCAGCGACGCCGCGUGAGGGAUGGAGGCCUUCGGGUUGUAAACCUCUGUCGCUCAUGGUCAAGCCGCAGCGUUGGGUUGUGGUGAGGGUAGUGGGUAAAGAAGCGCCGGCUAACUACGUG
rnacentral:rRNA from 1 species